GGCGGCGUGCCUAACACAUGCAGUCGAACGAGAAAGUGGAGCUUGCUUCAUGAGUAAAGUGGCAGACGGGUGAGUAACACGUGUACAACCUACCCUUGUAGUGGGGAAUAACACCGCGAAAGUGGUGCUAAUACCGCAUAACAUCUUCAGGUCGCAUGAUCUGAAGAUUAAAAGCGCAAGUUGCUCGAGGAGGGGUUCGCGCCUGAUUAGCUAGUUGGUGAGGUAACGGCCCACCAAGGCAACGAUCAGUAGCCGGCCUGAGAGGGCGAACGGCCACACUGGAACUGAGACACGGUCCAGACUCCUACGGGAGGCAGCAGUGGGGAAUUUUGCGCAAUGGGCGAAAGCCUGACGCAGCAACGCCGCGUGGAGGAUGAAGGCCCUCGGGUCGUAAACUCCUGUCAGCGGGGACGAAUGCUUCGCAAGAAGUUUGACUGUACCCGUUGAGGAAGCCACGGCUAACUCCGUGCCAGCAGCCGCGGUAAUACGGAGGUGGCAAGCGUUGUUCGGAAUUACUGGGCGUAAAGGGCGCGUAGGCGGCUUUGCAAGUCAGAUGUGAAAGCCCCGGGCUUAACUCGGGAAUUGCAUCUGAAACUGCUUAGCUUGAGUCCUGGAGGGGAUAGUGGAAUUCCCAGUGUAGCGGUGAAAUGCGUANAUAUUGGGAGGAACACCUGUGGCGAAGGCGGCUAUCUGGACAGUGACUGACGCUGAGGCGCGAAAGCUAGGGGAGCGAACGGGAUUAGAUACCCCGGUAGUCCUAGCUGUAAACGAUGGGCACUUGGUGUUGGGGGUAUUGAGUCCCUCGGUGCCGGAGUUAACACGUUAAGUGCCCCGCCUGGGGAGUACGGUCGCAAGACUGAAACUCAAAGGAAUUGACGGGGGCCCGCACAAGCGGUGGAGCAUGUGGUUCAAUUCC
rnacentral:rRNA from 1 species